GUUUUCUUCAGGUUUUUAUUUUUAUCAUUUUGGUAACACCCACGAGCAAUACAACCUUGCAGAAAUCUUUUGAAAUUUCUAAGAAUUGUUGCUCCAAACUUCCUUUCAUCGUGACAUAUAUACUUAUGAUAGAUUAAUUCAGAAUACGAUGGUAGAGUUGUGUUCAACAAAAAUGGCGGUCUCAGUUUGCUUUUACUCGGUUGCUUCGCUUGGCUGCGAAAAGAAAAGGGCCCCUCCCAUUGGAUGGUGAAAACCCGGUUUUUAGCGGCAUUUCGUGUUGGCAAGAACAUUAUUGAGGUCCCUUUGUCUUACCAUAGACAGUGGAGACCAUAUUACCCAACUAUGUUUUAUUUUACUAUAAUGGAAACACACAUUUUGUUAGGGUCCAGAAAUAUGGCAACCGCUAUUUUUUUGCUGAUGGUCUGAAAGAGUUUAGGAGAACCUACAACAUUAAGGAUGGUGUCAUUAUCCGGCUUUUUGCUCCUGACAAAAAUACAUCUUUCGAGCUUGAUGUCAUGGGACCUAUCCAUGGGCAAUCAACGAGAAGGUCAGUGGUUACAACCAGAAGGCACGUCUUUACAACUGAUGUCACACAAGACAUGGUGCAACACAACUUGCCUUUGGUUCUUCCACCAGUUGCUUCAAAUUUUUUGUUUAGCUAAAAAAAAAAAAAUUCUAUCCACCGUGGUUAUGGUAGACGUAACCAAUGGCAGAUCACCAUUCAUGAUGGUCUGCCAUCCCUUGCGAAACCAUGGUUUCAGCACCUGUCUAAAAAUAACUUAAUGCCUGGAAAUGAAGUUGUCUUCUUCUUCAAGUUUGACGAACAUGCGUGGGAAGCGCUAUUUAGGAAAAAAGUCAUAUGGGAUGACACCCUUUCUAGUUGAAGACCAUCCCACAGACAACUAUAUUUUUUUGGGUUUUGGUUUGAUUUAUAUUUUGCUUAGUUUUGUUAGUCAAAUACCUUAGGGUAUGAAACAAUUUCUUUCCCUUUACGUUGAA